rnacentral:rRNA from 1 species
GCAGCCGCGGUAAUACGUAGGGCGCGAGCGUUGUCCGGAAUUAUUGGGCGUAAAGAGCUCGUAGGCGGCUGGUCGCGUCUGUCGUGAAAACUUCCGGCUCAACCGGGGGCUUGCGGUGGGUACGGGCCGGCUAGAGUGCGGUAGGGGUAACUGGAACUCCUGGUGUAGCGGUGGAAUGCGCAGAUAUCAGGAAGAACACCGAUGGCGAAGGCAGGUUACUGGGCCGUUACUGACGCUGAGGAGCGAAAGCGUGGGGAGCGAACAGGAUUAGAUACCCUGGUAGUCCACGCCGUAAACGUUGGGCACUAGGUGUGAGGCUCCUUUCCGGGGGUUUUGCGCCGUAGCUAACGCAUUAAGUGCCCCGCCUGGGGAGUACGGCCGCAAGGCUAAAACUCAAAGGAAUUGACGGGGGCCCGCACAAGCAGCGGAGCAUGUGGUUUAAUUCGAAGCAACGCGAAGAACCUUACCAGGGCUUGACAUCCUGCUGACAGGACCUUAACCGGUCCCUUCUUCGGACAGCAGAGACAGGUGGUGCAUGGUUGUCGUCAGCUCGUGUCGUGAGAUGUUGGGUUAAGUCCCGCAACGAGCGCAACCCUUGUCCCGUGUUGCCAGCACGUUGUGGUGGGGACUCGCGGGAGACUGCCGGGGUCAACUCGGAGGAAGGUGGGGAUGACGUCAAAUCAUCAUGCCCCUUAUGUCUUGGGC